GGGCCCCUGAGGUCGGAGCUGGCGAGCCCUCGCGUUCGCCCCCGCUCCCCAACCCAGAAAGGGCUGCAAGGCACCCCCAGGACACUCAGACCCGCGCGGCUUUCUUUUCAAAGACAAGCAACCUUAACGCACGCCCGCCAAAACCCAUGCACUCCCAAGGCACUCCGUUUCCCUCUCCCAGUCAAGAUAGGAAAAGUCCCACCUCCCUGCCACUCCGUAAAAGGCUGUCGCUCCAGUCCAAGGGCUGCUGCCAUUCAGUACUUCUCACCCUGCCCAUGACCCCCGCAAACCGGAGUCCAGCGUGGAGUGGCCCGGCAGCAUGGCUUGUAACCCCUCGCUCUCCCUGGCGAAAGUGGAGUCUGGGCUCCCUGCUCCACCGGGCGCCUUGCCAAGCGAAGACCCAACUCGAGCCUUCGGGACUCUCAAGUACAUUCAUUGGCAUCUGAACAUCCCCGCAGCGCCCUACAGGGAAGGCUACCAGACAGGCUCGCAGCCUGGACCCUCUCAUCCACCUGCAGCGAGAGGCCAGGGCUCAGAGGGCCAGGGCGGAUGGAGCGUGGUGCCGGCUUCUGGGAGCUCACACACACCACUUUCCGCCUCGUCCCUACCACAGCUCUGCGCGGAGGUCGAGCACGUGUUAACUCGCCUAGGACAGACAGGAUUCCUGCUACUUUCCCACACAUUUUUGGAUUCCGGAGUCAUCUCAUUCCCCUGCGGAGAACGGGGGAGGGUAUUAGACUAAAAAGGUAACCUUGGCACAUUUUCCUCCCUCCUUCCCAGCCUCCAAAUCCUUUUAAACAUUGGGGGGGGGGGAGUGUACGUGUGUGUGUAAAUGCAGGCGAGGUGCUCGGAGAGGAAUGAGUGAUUAAGGGGGCUUGAUAAUUUGCAACCCAGCCUGACUGCCUGUACCAGUAGCUUCUGCAGGCACCCUCCUCCUAGGAUUCCCAGUCCACACGGACUCCGCCCCCAUGCACACCCGGCUGCUCCUGAGCCUUCACUUCUUGCUGUGUCUCCUCACACUUGCGCCUUUUUUCCCCUCGAAGCUGAGAGGCAGUCUUAACACCUCCCCUUCUCGCCGCCCCCCAUCCUCACUGCCCCCAGCACAGCAAGGCACAUCUGUCCCUACAACAGUCACGGGGGAGCUGGCACGUUGCCUUGGAUGCUCUCUCCCUGGUGGUUU
rnacentral:lncRNA from 1 species